rnacentral:rRNA from 1 species
GGAUAGCCAUUGGAAACGAUGAUUAAUACUAGAUACUCCUUCUCUUUCUAAUGAGAGUUGGGAAAGUUUUUCGCUAAGAGAUCGGUCUAUACCCCAUCAGCUUGUUGGUAGUGUAAGAGACUACCAAGGCAAUGACGGGUAGCGGGUUUGAGAGGAUGAUCCGCCACACUGGUACUGAGACACGGACCAGACUCCUACGGGAGGCAGCAGUGAGGAAUAUUGCACAAUGGAGGAAACUCUGAUGCAGCAACGCCGCGUGGAGGAUGACGCAUUUCGGUGUGUAAACUCCUUUUAUGAGUCAAGAAAAUGACGGUAGCUCAUGAAUAAGCACCGGCUAACUCCGUGCCAGCAGCCGCGGUAAUACGGAGGGUGCAAGCGUUAUUCGGAAUCACUGGGCGUAAAGGACGCGUAGGCGGGAUGCCAAGUCUGAUGUGAAAUCCUAUGGCUCAACCAUAGAACUGCAUUGGAAACUGGUAACCUAGAGUAUGGGAGGGGGAGAUGGAUAGUGGGGUUUUAGGGGGUAAAUUUG